GAUGAACGCUGGCGUCGUGCCUAAUACAUGCAAGUCGAGCGAACAGACGAGGAGCUUGCUCCUCUGACGUUAGCGGCGGCCGGGUGAGUAACACGUGGAUAACCUACCUAUAAGACUGGGAUAACUUCGGGAAACCGGAGCUAAUACCGGAUAAUAUAUUGAACCGCAUGGUUCAAUAGUGAAAGACGGUUUUGCUGUCACUUAUAGAUGGAUCCGCGCCGCAUUAGCUAGUUGGUAAGGUAACGGCUUACCAAGGCAACGAUGCGUAGCCGACCUGAGAGGGUGAUCGGCCACACUGGAACUGAGACACGGUCCAGACUCCUACGGGAGGCAGCAGUAGGGAAUCUUCCGCAAUGGGCGAAAGCCUGACGGAGCAACGCCGCGUGAGUGAUGAAGGUCUUCGGAUCGUAAAACUCUGUUAUUAGGGAAGAACAAAUGUGUAAGUAACUAUGCACGUCUUGACGGUACCUAAUCAGAAAGCCACGGCUAACUACGUG
rnacentral:rRNA from 1 species